rnacentral:lncRNA from 1 species
AUUCCAAGUCGCUGCUGUGCAGAGCAGCAAGUGCUCCGUGCAGGGCUGUUGCUAUCACUUGGAGGUGAACAGCCUCUUUUGCCGGUAUUCAGUGAAGAAAGCAAGUCUAAAUAUGCAGUUCUCUCACUGGAGUGAAAGAUGUUUUGUUCAUUUCUAAUCAACUAUGCUAGACAGCUGCAAGCUGAAAAGUGCCUGCAAUUUGCCAUUUAUUUGUAAUAAGGCUAUGAGAAGAGAAAAAAGAUGACUUUUCACAAUUAGAGGAGUUAAUGACUUAUGUCCUACUAUACCAGUGAACAUGAUAGAUUUGAAAACAAAACUUCGCUUUAAAACCUCUUAACUCUUAAGAUUUAGAAGACAAUUAAUUAAAAGUUUUCUUGUGCUGGUGAUAUUAAUAAAAGUUAUUCCUUCUAAAAAUUCAAAACAUGAUCACCAUUUAUUUUAAUAAAAAAUAUAAAAUAUUUUUUAUUAAAUAUGAAAAGUGUAUGCUAUCUUCAUAUCCUGUGCUGCAAUGUAUAGUUUCAAGAGAUAAGUGGAAUUUAUCAUCAUGCUAUCUUAUGAAUAAAUCCUAGCUCUGCUUUGUAAUAAAGUUCAUGUUUGCUUUGAUUCCAAGAACUAUACAAAUCAGCUAUAUGACCAUUAAGAGAUGAAGGUAAACAGAUGGAAUUAAUAGGCAUAUAUCUUUUAAAAUUUUUGCUAAAUAUAAAUGCAGUGAGAUAGCAUGUGGUCUAUGUGACAAAACCCUGGGCUAUAGGAGUGCAGUGGGAAGAAUCAACACUUCUUUGUAAUAUCAGAGAAAACCUCUAGUUUUGGAGGUGACAAUGAAGCCCUUGUCUUCUUUUGAUUUUGUUUUUCUAUCUACAGAGUUUGGAAACACUGUAAUGCUAGAUGACAGUCCCAUACUUCCCAUAGGUGCUUAGUAUAUGUUAGUGAUCCUGUGAACAUUAAGGUAGAUGAAGCAUUUUGAACUCACCAGGAGAGUCUGUUGUUAUAAGUGCUGAGAUUUGUAAUGCUUAUCCCCCCUGAGAUAAACCCAAGUAGGAAAGCUAUGGAGAUGGUUUGUUGGGUUUUAAUUCCAUCUUAAUUUAGUUGAGAUACU